UCAAGCGAACAAGUGCAUGUGGUGGAUGCCUUGGCGAUCACAGGCGAUGAAGGACGCGGUAGCCUGCGAAAAGCUUCGGGGAGCUGGCAAACGAGCUUUGAUCCGGAGAUGUCCGAAUGGGGAAACCCGGCCCGUAUGGGUCAUCCCACACUGAAUCCAUAGGUGUGGGAAGCGAACGCGGCGAACUGAAACAUCUAAGUAGCUGCAGGAACAGAAAUCAACCGAGAUUCCCAAAGUAGUGGCGAACGAAAUGGGAAGAGCCUUGUACUCUUUAGCAGUGGUGUUAGCAGAACGGGAUGGAAAGCCCGGCCAUAGCAGGUGAUAGCCCUGUAUGCGAAAACACGAUUGUGGAACUAGGUGUACGACAAGUAGGGCGGGACACGUGAAAUCCUGUCUGAAGAUGGGGGGACCAUCCUCCAAGGCUAAAUACUCGUGAUCGACCGAUAGUGAACCAGUACCGUGAGGGAAAGGCGAAAAGAACCCCGGGAGGGGAGUGAAAUAGAUCCUGAAACCGCAUGCAUACAAACAGUCGGAGCCCUUUCGGGGGUGACGGCGUACCUUUUGUAUAAUGGGUCAGCGACUUACAUUCAGUGGCAAGCUUAACCGAUUAGGGAAGGCGUAGCGAAAGCGAGUCCGAACAGGGCGUUGAGUCGCUGGGUGUAGACCCGAAACCAGAUGAUCUAUCCAUGGCCAGGUUGAAGGUGCGGUAACACGUACUGGAGGACCGAACCCACUAACGUUGAAAAGUUAGGGGAUGAGCUGUGGAUAGGGGUGAAAGGCUAAACAAAUCUGGAAAUAGCUGGUUCUCUCCGAAAACUAUUUAGGUAGUGCCUCGUGUCUCACCUUCGGGGGUAGAGCACUGUCAUGGUUGGGGGGUCUAUUGCUGAUUACCCCGCCAUAGCAAACUCCGAAUACCGAAGAGUGCAAUCACGGGAGACAGACAUCGGGUGCUAACGUCCGGUGUCAAGAGGGAAACAACCCAGACCGCCAGCUAAGGUCCCCAAAUAUAGCUAAGUGGGAAACGAAGUGGGAAGGCUAAAACAGUCAGGAGGUUGGCUUAGAAGCAGCCACCCUUUAAAGAAAGCGUAAUAGCUCACUGAUCGAGUCGUCCUGCGCGGAAGAUGUAACGGGGCUAAGCUAUAUACCGAAGCUGCGGACGCACGCAAGUGCGUGGUAGGAGAGCGUUCUGUAAGCCUGUGAAGGUGUCUUGUAAAGGAUGCUGGAGGUAUCAGAAGUGCGAAUGCUGACAUGAGUAGCGAUAAAGGGGGUGAAAGGCCCCCUCGCCGUAAGCCCAAGGUUUCCUACGCAACGUUCAUCGGCGUAGGGUGAGUCGGCCCCUAAGGCGAGGCAGAGAUGCGUAGCUGAUGGGAAGCAGGUUAAUAUUCCUGCACCGUCGUAUGAUGCGAUGGGGGGACGGAUCGCGGAAGGUUGUCCGGGUGUUGGAAGUCCCGGUCCCUGCAUUGGAGAAGGCGCUCAGGCAAAUCCGGGCGCGGGAUUCAAGGAUGUGGGGCGAGCGGCCUAGUGCUGCGAAGCAAUUGGAAGUGGUUCCAAGAAAAGCCUCUAAGCUUCAGUCAUACGAGACCGUACCGCAAACCGACACAGGUGGGCGAGAUGAGUAUUCUAAGGCGCUUGAGAGAACUCGGGAGAAGGAACUCGGCAAAUUGGUACCGUAACUUCGGGAUAAGGUACGCCCUGGUAGCUUGACUGGCCUGCGCCAGAAGGGUGAAGGGGUUGCAAUAAAAUGGUGGCUGCGACUGUUUAAUAAAAACACAGCACUCUGCAAACACGAAAGUGGACGUAUAGGGUGUGACGCCUGCCCGGUGCCGGAAGAUUAAAUGAUGGGGUGCAAGCUCUUGAUUGAAGUCCCGGUAAACGGCGGCCGUAACUAUAACGGUCCUAAGGUAGCGAAAUUCCUUGUCGGGUAAGUUCCGACCUGCACGAAUGGCGUAACGAUGGCCACACUGUCUCCUCCCGAGACUCAGCGAAGUUGAAGUGUUUGUGAUGAUGCAAUCUCCCCGCGGCUAGACGGAAAGACCCCAUGAACCUUUACUGUAGCUUUGCAUUGGACUUUGAACCGAUCUGUGUAGGAUAGGUGGGAGGCUUUGAAGCGUGGACGCCAGUUCACGUGGAGCCGUCCUUGAAAUACCACCCUGGUUUGUUUGAGGUUCUAACCUUGGCCCGUGAAUCCGGGUCGGGGACAGUGCAUGGUAGGCAGUUUGACUGGGGCGGUCUCCUCCCAAAGUGUAACGGAGGAGUUCGAAGGUACGCUUGGUACGGUCGGACAUCGUACCUAAAGUGCAAUGGCAAAAGCGUGCUUAACUGCGAGACCGACAAGUCGAGCAGGUGCGAAAGCAGGACAUAGUGAUCCGGUGGUUCUGAAUGGAAGGGCCAUCGCUCAACGGAUAAAAGGUACUCUGGGGAUAACAGGCUGAUACCGCCCAAGAGUUCAUAUCGACGGCGGUGUUUGGCACCUCGAUGUCGGCUCAUCUCAUCCUGGGGCUGUAGCCGGUCCCAAGGGUAUGGCUGUUCGCCAUUUAAAGAGGUACGUGAGCUGGGUUUAAAACGUCGUGAGACAGUUUGGUCCCUAUCUGCCGUGGGCGUUGGAAUCUUGACGGGGGCUGCUCCUAGUACGAGAGGACCGGAGUGGACGUACCGCUGGUGUACCUGUUGUCUCGCCAGAGGCAUCGCAGGGUAGCUAUGUACGGAAGAGAUAACCGCUGAAAGCAUCUAAGCGGGAAACUCGCCUGAAGAUGAGGAUUCCCUGGAGGCUUGACCUCCUUGAAGGGUCGUUCGAGACCAGGACGUUGAUAGGCUGGGUGUGGAAGCGCAGUAAUGCGUUAAGCUAACCAGUACUAAUUGCCCGUAAGGCUUGAUCCU
rnacentral:rRNA from 1 species